rnacentral:rRNA from 1 species
ACCUGGUUGAUCCUGCCAGAGGCUACCGCUAUUGGAGUCCGAUUAAGACAUGCGAGUCGAGAGCUUUCGGAGCUCGGCAUACUGCUCAGUAACACGUGGGUAACCUGCCCUAUGCUGGGGGAUAACCUCGGGAAACUGAGAACAAUACCCCAUAGUCCACUACGCCUGGAACGGUGAGUGGAUAAAAGCCCCGGCGGCAUAGGAUGGGCCUGCGACGUAUCAGGUUGUAGGGGGUGUAAUGUACCCUCUAGCCUUCGACGCGUACGGGUUGUGAGAGCAAUAGCCCGGAGAUGGAUUCUGAGACAAGAAUCCAGGUCCCACGGGACGCAGCAGUCGCGAAACCUUGACAAUGCGGGAAACCGUGAUCAGGGGACUCCAAGUGCCAGGAGUAAGAUCCUGUGCUUUUCAUCUCUCUUCAAAGGAUUUGGAAUAAGAGGUGGGUAAGGACGGUGCCAGCCGCCGCGGUAAUACCGGCGCCUCAAGUGGUAGUCGAUUUUAUUGGGCCUAAAACGUCCGUCGCCUGUCUGGUGCAUUCGUGGGUAAAUCA